ensembl:snRNA LOC120095376 U6 spliceosomal RNA
GCUCCCUUCGGCAGCACAGACACUAAAACUGGAUCACUACAGAGAUUAGCAUGAUCUCUGCAGAAGGAGUUCAUCCAAAUUCAUGAGGUGUUUUAUAUUUUA